GGAAGCACUUAUGUACUGGUGUGCAUACAGGUCUUCAAAACCUUGUUGUGAGUGUAACAGCUCAUAGGUGGGUUAGAUUCCCAUGUGCUUCCGCCA
rnacentral:tRNA from 1 species